rnacentral:rRNA from 1 species
GAUUCUGGCUCAGGAUUAACGCUGGCGGCGUGCCUAAUACAUGCAAGUCGAAUGGUAGCAAUACCAUGGCGAACGGGUGAGUAACACGUAGGUAACCUGUCUUUAAGCCGAGGAUAACCAUUGGAAACGAUGGAUAAUACUGGAUAGGACAUUUGAAGGCAUCUUUAGAUGUUUAAAGAUUUAUCACUUAGAGAGGGGCCUGCGGCGCAUUAGCUAGUUGGUGAGGUGAAGGCUUACCAAGGCGAUGAUGCGUAGCCGGACUGAGAGGUUGAACGGCCACAAUGGAACUGAGAACGGUCCAUACUCCUACGGGAGGCAGCAGUAGGGAAUUUUCGGCAAUGGGCGGAAGCCUGAACCCGAGCAACGCCGCGUGAACGAAGAAGUAUUUCGGUAUGUAAAGUUCUUUUAUUAGGGACGAAAAGACAGAUUGACGGUACCUAAUGAAUAAGCUCCGGCUAACUACGUGCCAGCCGCUGC